rnacentral:rRNA from 1 species
GAUGAACGCUGGCGGCGUGCCUAAUACAUGCAAGUCGAACGCUUCACUUCGGUGAAGAGUGGCGAACGGGUGAGUAAUACAUAAGUAACCUGGCAUCUACAGGGGGAUAACUGAUGGAAACGUCAGCUAAGACCGCAUAGGUGUAGAGAUCGCAUGAACUCUAUAUGAAAAGUGCUACGGGACUGGUAGAUGAUGGACUUAUGGCGCAUUAGCUUGUUGGUAGGGUAACGGCCUACCAAGGCGACGAUGCGUAGUCGACCUGAGAGGGUGACCGGCCACACUGGGACUGAGACACGGCCCAGACUCCUACGGGAGGCAGCAGUAGGGAAUUUUCGGCAAUGGGGGAAACCCUGACCGAGCAACGCCGCGUGAAGGAAGAAGUAAUUCGUUAUGUAAACUUCUGUCAUAGAGGAAGAACGGUGGAUAUAGGGAAUGAUAUCCAAGUGACGGUACUCUAUAAGAAAGCCACGGCUAACUACGUG